UACGAACCGUACAAACGUUAUUCGGAAUCACUGGGCUUAAAGGGUGCGUAGGCGGCCAUGUAAGUGAGGUGUGAAAUCCCUCGGCUCAACCGAGGAACUGCGCUUCAUACUGCAUGGCUUGAGGGAGACAGGGGUAAGCGGAACUGAUGGUGGAGCGGUGAAAUGCGUUGAUAUCAUCAGGAACACCGGUGGCGAAAGCGGCUUACUGGGUCUCUUCUGACGCUGAGGUACGAAAGCUAGGGGAGCAAACAGG
rnacentral:rRNA from 1 species